CAGAAUGAACAUGAUAGAUCACGGUUCUUCAAAUCUGGCCCUCGAGGUCCAAUGUCCUGCAGAGUUUCUCUCCAACCCUAAUCAAACACACCUGAACAAGCUAACAAGUCAAGUCUUCAGGAUUACAGGCAGAUUAGGGCAGUCACAGCUGUAUUGCAUUGCUCGCUCAAGUGGAAGUUCAGCUUGAGAAUUAAAGGCUGUUGCUGAUGCGCAGAACAUGAAUAGUGCUGCAAUACUGCCAUCUAUCUGACAUUGGAGUUCAUUAUUCAAUUCUGCAAAUGACAGAUGUUAUAUUUUGAGUCAUUUAAAGGGCCCAUACUGCACACUUUUCUUAAAUUUUAUUUGUUCAUUAAGCCCAAUUGUUUGAAUGUAUGUACAAGAAAUAUCAUUAAUUCGUACAUGACCAACCUCAAGAAUUAUUUCACUGAUUUUGCUACUUUCUCUUUAAUGUAAAUGAUCUGUGUUCUGACUGGCUGAUUGAUUCACAUAUGAAAUAAGACCACCUUCAAGCUGUCCAUGGGUCCUUAAAAGUCUUAAUUUGUCUGAAAUGACAUUUUAUAAA